CCCAGACUCCUACGGGAGGCAGCAGUGGGGAAUAUUGGGCAAUGGGCGCAAGCCUGACCCAGCAAUGCCGCGUGAAGGAAGAAGGCCUUCGGGUUGUAAACUUCCUUUAUCAGGGACGAAGGAUGUGACGGUACCUGAUGAAUAAGCUCCGGCUAACUACGUGCCAGCAGCCGCGGUAAUACGUAGGUGGCAAGCGUUGUCCGGAUUUACUGGGUGUAAAGGGCGUGUAGCCGGGCCGGCAAGUCAGAUGUGAAAUCCCAAGGCUCAACCUUGGAACUGCAUUUGAAACUGUUGGUCUUGAGUAUCGGAGAGGCAGGCGGAAUUCCUAGUGUAGCGGUGAAAUGCGUAGAUAUUAGGAGGAACACCAGUGGCGAAGGCGGCCUGCUGGACGACAACUGACGGUGAGGCGCGAAAGCGUGGGGAGCAAACAGGAUUAGAUACCCCUGUA
rnacentral:rRNA from 1 species